AACAACAGCCAUGUCACCCUGCAGCCCAAGACUGGUUACUCACUGAAGCUAAGCAGGGCUGAGCCUGGUCAGUACCUGGAUGGGAGACCACUAGGGAACACUAGGUUGCUGUUGGAA
rnacentral:rRNA from 1 species